rnacentral:rRNA from 1 species
UACGUAGGGUGCGAGCGUUGUCCGGAUUUAUUGGGCGUAAAGAGCGUGUAGGCGGCCAUACAGGUCAGCUGUGAAAACUCGAGGCUCAACCUCGAGACGUCGGUUGAAACCGUAUGGCUAGAGUCCGGAAGAGGAGAGUGGAAUUCCCGGUGUAGCGGUGAAAUGCGCAGAUAUCGGGAAGAACACCCGUGGCGAAGGCGGCUCUCUGGGACGGUACUGACGCUGAGGCACGAAAGCGUGGGGAGCAAACAGG